AUACAGAGGGUGCGAGCGUUAAUCGGAAUUACUGGGCGUAAAGCGCGCGUAGGCGGCUACUUAAGUCAGAUGUGAAAUCCCCGGGCUCAACCUGGGAACUGCAUCUGAUACUGGGUAGCUAGAGUUUAGGAGAGGGAAGUAGAAUUUCAGGUGUAGCGGUGAAAUGCAUAGAGAUCUGAAGGAAUACCAGUGGCGAAGACGGCUUCCUGGCCUAAAACUGACGCUGAGGUGCGAAAGCGUGGGUAGCAAACGGGAUUAGAAACCCCAGUAGUCC
rnacentral:rRNA from 1 species